rnacentral:rRNA from 1 species
GCAUAUCAAUAAGCGGAGGAAAAGAAAAUAACAAUGAUUCCCCUAGUAACGGCGAGUGAACAGGGAAAAGCUCAAAGUUGGAACCUCCUAGCCUUAGGUUAGGCGGAUUGUAAACUAAAGUUCUUGAGUAGUUUGGCUGGCUCGGUAAAUAAGUUCUCUGGAAAGGGACGACAAAGAGGGUGAAAUCCCCGUUUUUGGCCGAAGCUUAGUCUUGCGUUUGCUUGGGAAUGAAGAGUCAGGUUGUUUGGUAUUGCAGCCUAAAGUUGGAGGUAAAUCUCUCCUAAAGCUAAAUAUUGACGAAAGACCGAUAGCGAACAAGUACCGUGAGGGAAAGAUGAAAAGCACCUUGAAAAGGGGGUCAAAAAGUACGUGAAAUUGCUGAAAGGGAACCGUAUGAAAUCAGCUUGGCCGUUUGGUAAUCAGCCUAGACUUUGGUUUGGGUGCACUUGCCAUUUGGUACAGCCUGCGACAAUUUGAUUUGGAGGAAAAAAUGAGAGAGAAUGUGGCCUUGUCUUCGGGGGAGGUGUUAUAGCUCUUUUAAAAAUACUCUGGAUUGGAUUGAGGAUCGCAGCGAGCCUUUAGGGAUGAACUGUGGGCGCUUGGUGGUUGUUAGGGAGAAAUUUCUAUUUAGGUAGUGUCUUCUUCACAACUAUCAACUCGCUUACUUUUUCUUUUUCUCGCUUAGGUCGCAGGCAUAAUGAUUUUAUAUGACC